UUGAACGCUGGCGGCAGGCCUCACACCUGCCAGUCGAGCGGAUGAAGGGAGCUUGCUCCUGGAUUCAGCGACGGACGGGUGAGUAAUGCCUAGGAAUCUGCCUGGUAGUGGGGGAUAACGUCCGGAAACGGGCGCUAAUACCGCAUACGUCCUGAGGGAGAAAGUGGGGGAUCUUCGGACCUCACGCUAUCAGAUGAGCCUAGGUCGGAUUAGCUAGUUGGUGGGGUAAAGGCCUACCAAGGCGACGAUCCGUAACUGGUCUGAGAGGAUGAUCAGUCACACUGGAACUGAGACACGGUCCAGACUCCUACGGGAGGCAGCAGUGGGGAAUAUUGGACAAUGGGCGAAAGCCUGAUCCAGCCAUGCCGCGUGUGUGAAGAAGGUCUUCGGAUUGUAAAGCACUUUAAGUUGGGAGGAAGGGCAGUAAGUUAAUACCUUGCUGUUUUGACGUUACCAACAGAAUAAGCACCGGCUAACUUCGUG
rnacentral:rRNA from 1 species